rnacentral:rRNA from 1 species
UACGUAGGGGGCAAGCGUUGUUCGGAAUUACUGGGCGUAAAGGGCGCGUAGGCGGCACGGCAAGUCGGGCGUGAAAGCCCGGGGCUCAACCCCGGAACGUCUUUCGAAACUGCCGAGCUAGAGUGCGGAAGGGGCAACUGGAAUUCCCAGUGUAGCGGUGAAAUGCGUAGAUAUUAGGAAGAACACCAGUGGCGAAGGCGGCUCACUGGCUCGGUACUGACGCUGAGGCGCGAAAGCGUGGGGAGCAAACAGG